AGUGAACGCUGGCGGUAGGCCUAACACAUGCAAGUCGAACGGCAGCACAGUAAGAGCUUGCUCUUACGGGUGGCGAGUGGCGGACGGGUGAGGAAUACAUCGGAAUCUACUUUUUCGUGGGGGAUAACGUAGGGAAACUUACGCUAAUACCGCAUACGACCUACGGGUGAAAGCAGGGGAUCUUCGGACCUUGCGCGAUUGAAUGAGCCGAUGUCGGAUUAGCUAGUUGGCGGGGUAAAGGCCCACCAAGGCGACGAUCCGUAGCUGGUCUGAGAGGAUGAUCCGCCAAACGGGAAAUGAGACACGGGCCAGACCCCUAGGGGAGGCAGAGGGGGGGAAUUUGGGAAAAGGGGCGAAAGCCUGACCCAGCCAUACCGCGGGGGUAAAAAAGGCCUUCGGGUUGUAAAGCCCUUUUUUUGGGAAAAAAAAGCAGCAGGUUAAAACCCCGCUGUUCUGACGGUACCCAAAGAAUAAGCCCCGGAUAACUUCGU
rnacentral:rRNA from 1 species